GCCUUGGUAGCUCAGUGGAUAGAGCACCGCUCUCCUAAAGCGGGUGUCGCAGGUUCGAUUCCUGCUCAGGGCA
rnacentral:tRNA from 1 species